GUGUCUGUGACCUACCCCACAGCUCACAGCAACACCAGAUCCUUAACCCACUGAGCAAGGCCAGGGAUCAAACCCGCAACCUCAUGGUUCCUAGUCGGAUUCGUUAACCACUGAACCACCACGGCAACUCCUACACACAAAUUCUUUACCUCAGAGUUCUAGGCCUUGACUGAAAAGCUAAGCACUUCCAAAUGUGCUUGCAUCUCCUGCUAAAUCCUCCUGGGUUGCCGUAAACAAUGCAAGUGUAUCUCCCAUAGUGAAAGUACUCCAUGAACGUUUACAAGGGAAAGCACAUUUUCCAGUCUUUCAAAGCAGUUUUUCACAAACUGACUUGGGAGAAUUCUCAAUAUGUUCAUGCCAAUUUGCUGAAAGAUGGUAGAAAGGAAUUAAAUCUUAUGAUAAUGAUGAUUUCCUUCUCCUUAGCUCACAAUUAAAAUAUUUCAGCCAAGCAAAAAAAUAAGUAUUAAUGUACACAAAUUGCUUUACUAUUCAGCAAAGGGAUCUGAAUAAUGUUACUAUUAUUAAUAUUUUUAAAAUAGACAACGUUUUAGAGCAGUUUUAGGUUCAUGGCAAAAUUGAGAGGAAGGUGCAGAGAUUUACCAUAUUCCACCCCCCCACCCGCCUUAUUUAUACAUAGUUUCUCCUAUUAUCAACAUUUCCCAGCACAAUGGUACAUUUGUUACAAUUGAUGAACCUACAUUGAUACACUAUAAUCAUCCAAAGGCCAUGCUUUACAAUAAGGUUCACUCUUGCUGUUAUUCAUUCUAUGGCUUUGGACAAAAGUAUAAUGACAUAUAUCUACCAGUAUGGUAUUAUACAGAGUUCACUGUUCCAGAAAUCUCCUAUGCUUCACCUAUUUACUCUUUCCUCCCCUCUUGGAUUUUAUGUUUUAAUGCUUCAAACCAAGUGGCAUGUUCCUUUGUAGAUGGAAUUCUGUGCCUAGAGUUCAAAAUUGUGUUCUGGUUCUACUACAUAUUAUAUGACCUUGAGUGUAUCACCUAAAAAUUUUCUUAGAGUUUGUUCCCUUUUCUUUAGAAUGAUUAAAAUAAAUAUAGUUUUGGUCUCUAGGGAUUGUAUUUGUGAAAAUUAUUUAUAAACUGUCAGGAAUUAUACAGAUGUAUCAUUGUGUUUAACUGUUGGACCAGCUGUCACUCAGAACUCUUGAUUUUAAUAUUAAAACUGAUGUAUCUAAAAUUCAGACCUAAUAGUCUAAAAGUGAUGGUUCCCUACACUGGUCACAUCAAGAACUACCUGAAGAGCUUGAAAAAAAAAUCAUUACCUAGGUGAUGGGAUGGGAUUGAGACUAGGAAUACACACACACACACACACACACACACACACACACACACACACUAUAUAUAUAUACAUACUUUUUUUUUUUAAGCUCUUGCAUGAUUCUGUUGUGCAGUCAGAGUGAGAAUUGCUGGUAUAAGUGUCAAGUCCUUCAAACAGGAGGACCAUUUUAAAUGAUCAGGAAACAACAUUCCAAUGCCUAGCACAAUGAACUCCAACUGUAGCCAAGAAAUAAAUAGCAGAUAUUCUUUGUUGAAAAGCUCUUAUAAUGGUGGGUACUGUUAGAUGAAGGUGGAAAUACUGACACAAAGAGUAUGCCACAGUGAUUAUGAAACUAUACUCAGCAAUGCCUGGAAAUAUUUUACUUUUGUCUUUUGGCUAAGAUGAAAGAUUCUUUAGAAACCUGUACUGGAGCAUAUAGCUUGGAUUGUUGAAUAGCUGUACAAAUGGAUAAUGAGAUGCCAAGGAGGAGGAGACAAGGAAUCUACAGACUAAUGCCAACUUGUGUGUGACUUUGAAGUGUGAAUGUUAGCACAGUGUUGCAUUCCAUUUAAGAACUGGGAUCUUUUGACAGAGACCAGGGAGGUGUGCUAACUUUCAGGGUGCACCUCCAUUUCAGGUUAGACAGAAUUCUGGAUGGUUGGCCACAGAGCAUCCAUAUUUGGAGAGAAAGGAGUGUAAAGCACAGCAUCUCUGCUAAUUUUGAAGAGGUCUCACUUAUGUUACAUCCAGAGUGAACAGAAAAGCUCUCAGACUUAGUGAUAUUUCUACUGAAUUAUUCAAGCUAAAAUUGACAUGGUGUCUUCUACUUAAACUUUCCAAUAAUUUCUUGUUUUCUAUCAAAAAGUUAAAAUCUCAUUUUCUUGACACUCAAGGGCUUUUGAGAGUUUGACAACUUGGUUUCCCUUUACUCUACUUGUUCAAUAAGUCCUAUCGUUUUGUUUAACCCUUAGGAAACCUAUCUCAUUCAUCUUUGAUUCAUUUUUAGUCACCCUUAGAAAUAGGAGAAAUGGUCUUAUUGAUAGCUUUGUGCCUUCAUAAGCUGUUCCUGAAAUGGGUUUCACGUGAAAGUGGUGUAUUAGAAAGUGUUUCUGGAGAAACACCAGUUGCAGUGUGGGCAAGUAGACAUGGCGUGGAAGGAAGAAAAGCAAGGGUGAGAUUUCCAGGAAAAUCCCCCAGAGGUGGGGCAACAUGACUCAGUCUUGCAGGAGAGCUCUUGAGACAGGAUGAGGCACACUUUGGAGUUGUCCGAAUUAGGAGGCAAGGAGGCUGUAGUGUUUAUCUUCAUCCCUUUAUUCGUCGGCUAAGGGCUGAUGAUAGGAAGGCAGCAUAAUCUCUCUGGUGCUUGGCAGUUUCCAUUGGUAUAGACAAAAGGAGCCUUUCCACAUGGAGCUACAGAUGCUGAUGUUGGGGGUCAGAGCACAUUGGAGCUGGUGUGUAGAAAGCUGGUGAAGGGAUCCAAGGGAAUAUGGGCAGGAGUGCCAUGUUUUCUUAAACUUGUAUGUUAGAUUAUUUCUUGGAUUAGAAGUUUCUUGAAAACAUAUAUUAUGUGAUUUCUCUUCUAUCACUAACCCCUGCAACACCUUAUCCAAAAUAUUAAAAUUAAUGCCUUAAAACAGUAUUUAUUCAGUGAUUGAAUGAAUGAGUUAGGGUUUCUGUUUUCCUUUUUAUUCUAUCUUCAAGUGUUUCUUUAUAUCUCUGCCAGGCCUGUAUAUCAAGCUACAAAAUAUGUGUACUGGGAAUGUUAUUGGAUGUGAUGAGAACUCUCUCAUGGUACUCCUUACAGAACCCCCUGGGCUCAGUCAAACAGCAAGGAUGGCAGGAAUCCAGAUUAGCUGUUAUGUAGGGAGCUGACUUGAGAUGUCUGAAGGUAAAAAAGGACUAGAUCACAUUUUCUUACUUAGCUGGGAAGGACCAGAAGAGAGCUGCUGAUGUCAGCACUUGGAAGUUGCCAAAUUAUUAUUAUUACUUUUUUCUGAGUUAAGGGCCAGUGUUGGGUCUACAAGUUAAUGUCACCAGCAGAGUCCAGCAUUUUGAAUUGAGACAGUGAGUAAUCAAAGGACUCAUGCUCAUUGUAGAAAAUGCUCAUUGUACCUACCCAUGCUCAUUGUAGAAAAUGGCCUUUUUGCUGCUUAGUUGCUCUAACUCUUCCUUGCAUGAGCCACACCCGUUUUAUUUUAGUAGAUGCUCCUCUUGCCAAGAGUUCAUGUCAAACAUUUCUCGUCUCUUCCAGGACUUUAUUUAACAUACCCACUGUCAUGGAAAACUCCGUAAGGAAUUCUGGGUGUCUAGAGUAGAUGUGGUGCUCUGUAUAAGUUUUUGGAAUCAAGAAAGGAAUAAGUCAAAUGUAUGUUGUUAAUUAAACACACAAAAAAAGUUGCCUCAACUUUUGAAGACAGAAUGGUAACAACCAGACAUUCUCUAGAGUCAUGUCAUCAUCGUCAUGUUGAGUAUUAUCAUUGAUAUACCCCAAAUAAGCACCAUGAUUAGUUCAUAGCCCACAUUUUUCAUACUAUGCACCACACAGAAUAAUAAAUAAAGUCACAUAUUUUAAUGUGAAUGGCAAGUUGCUGGAUCAGUUUCCUAUAACUGGUUAGUAAUACUUUGGAGAAAAAAAAAGAUUUCUACUGUGACGGUGAGAAUGCAGUAAUUGCCCCUGUGAAAAAACAUCCUACUUCACCUUAAUCUUAUUCCCCAUGAGUGGAUCCAUGCCAAAGUUUACUAAAAUGUAAUGCCCUUUUUAUACAUAAUUCACAAACCUACAAUAGAAAAACUCAAUGGUAUCUUCAGCUUGCAGGCAAGGUACAUAGUUAAGAAAAUCUGAGUAAGAAUUGCUCAAUAUUUCUCAAGUGCAGUGGUCACAAAGACGAGAAAACCUAUAGGAAAUGUAAUAUUAAUAAAAACGAAAGCAGAGAAUUAGACCAGACAUUCCGUUCAUUCAUUUCACUAACAUUUUUUAUACUAUAAUGAAAUCUUGGUUAUUGCAUUAUCAGAUAAACAGAAGCAAAGCACUGUGUUAGAAAUACUAGCCUUUUCAUUGUAUUUAUGGAAGCAUAAGGAAAAAAUAAAUACAAGUGACACUCAGGUACUUGGAAUAAUGACAAAAAGGAGGAGAAUAUUCAGUAGAGAAAAAUCAGACUCAUAAAAUAAUUCAUUUAUGUGAUUUCUAAUGUUUAUCGGCAGUUUACCUUUGAAUGGUUUUGUGAAGGCGGAUUUUCCUUUUCUUAUUUUUCUCUUAGAGCAGGGUAACAGGUUUAAAGGUGAACCAUGAGGGAAAUUUAAUUUCAAAGAUGUAUGGGAAUCAGUGCUUUCAAAACAAAAUUUGAAAUAUACUUUGCCAUGCCUUUUUAUGCUGUACAAAAUCCAUCAUUCAUAAAGCUACUGAUUUUGACAGUGCCUCUCUGCAACACAGGACAUAACGCAGAGCAAUCAAAAGGCAUUUUAAUUUUUAAAAUGCUCUCAUCUGCUUUUCCAUUGCCUUUGGUAGCUUAUACAAUUUUAGAACACAUGCCGCAUGCCAAGUUGUCUGGCUUUAUCUUCUCUAUAGAGGAAAAAUGUCACCACAGCAGUGUUGACUCUUUGCUGGAAAUGGAGAUUUUUCCAUGGAUCAGACAUUAUGGACAUCAAAAUAUUAACAAUUACAAUGAUUAGUUAACAGUAUUUGCUAUACUUAAGUACUUUUUAUAUUCCAGGUGGCGUGUCAAGUCCUUAAAUACAUUUCACAUUUUAUCUUCAAAGCAGUCAUACAUAAUGCUCAUCAAUAUACACAAUUUACAGGUCAGGGAGGUGACACCCAGAGUGCACAAGUAACUUGGGCAAGGCCCUGGAUAUUAAUGGUGAACAGCAAGCAGCUGGGGGGAGCACCAUAGUUUGGAGAGGGUGUGUAUUUCCUGAGCUUUUCUGGGAUGACUCAUAAGGUCAUUAACUUCAUUAGAUCUUCAGGCAGCUCCUUGAAAGAUGCUCAACCCUGAGAAUGAUCUAAAGUAGCUUUGGUUGGGAGUUCCCUGAUAGCUCAUUGGGCUAAGGAUCUGGCAUUAUCACUGCUAUGGCUUGUGCACUGCUGUGGUGCGGGUUUGAUCCCUGGCCUGGGAACUUCUGUCUGCCACGGGUGCAGCCAGAAAAAAAAAAAAAAAGUAAUAAUAAAGUAGCUUUGGUUUUCUGGGCAUUACCUUGACUGGAGCAGAAUCCGGGGACUAUUCCUGUUAUCAUCCUGGCCUGGACCAAUCACUGAAACAGAAAUGUUCUCUUUGGAGCAGCAUUCAUACCUCUACUUUGUCCAGAAUGUCAUUGCAGUCUAAAAUCAGAGUCAGGCAGGUCGAGAUGAGUUUGGAAAAUGUUAAAAUAAAAUAUUACACAAAGAAAUAGUGUAAAAAAUCCCUUUACAUAAGUGAAUGUCAUAUCUUAAGCAGAAUUUGCAGUAAGUCUGAAAUCCUUAUUACUCAUUGCCAUAGGUUUCCAACUUACUGCAUUUCUGAAUUUUCCUAAUAGCAUCUCCUCUCUAAUUUUGAUGAGUUAAAAUAUUGUGAACAAAUAUUAUUGCCCUUCUAUCACAAUACAUAUGGCUGAGGCAAACUUAGUGAAAAAUAUUCUUGGAUGUUUUAAGUCUGACAUUUAGAAAUUGGGUGGCACAUUAAAAAUACUCCCAAGGUGACAUCAUAUUUCCUACUGAUUCUGGGAACCAAUUUGAACAGCAAACAUUUAUUUUUUUUUUAAUAUGAAUGUCACUUAAGAGGGCUUUGACUGUUGCAAAUUGACCCAGAAGUGAUGGGUGAAAAAUGAUAUUAUCUAGCAUGUUUCCUUUAUGGUUGGAGGUCUCCGUAAUUCUCAGAGCACCAUAUUGCCACCUGUCCUUGUCAGACUGUUAAAGACCAGCCAGCGUUACUACGGUUCCCUGUCAGCCACCCUUAUUGUACUGCACGUGCCAUGUCUGAGGAUGAUGGAAAUGAGACAGAUAUGCUGGUGUUUUUGCAUUAAGGAGGCAGUUUCUGAGUGACAAGGCUAUUUGUGUACCAAGCACAUAAAUAUUGCCUGAUGAUGUCUGAGUUCACUUGGAUUCACUGGAGAAAACUCACAUGAGUGCCAGAGAAUUAAUUGCAUUGCUUAGUCUUAUGGUGAAUCGAUUAAAAUGAUGGCUAUAUUUUGAGGAAUUUUUGGUUGGCCUUAUUUGUUAUACCCUGCAGGGUGUAAAUGCAUUUUUAGCAUUUAUCAGGGUUAUGUUGUUUUGAAGUUUUACAAUUAAGUGCAUUUUACCCUUCCACAGUGUAUUUCACUGCGUGAUAGUUUCAAGUGACCAAUUACUUAAAGACAACAAAUUCAAAGUAGUAGUUUAAAUGUUGCCUAUAUUCUUGAUUUCUUUAGAUUUCUUACAUUUCUACUUAUCAUAAUGAGCUGUCAAAUUUAUAUGGCCUGUUUAUUUUAGACCUUGGAACAAAACCUCUCUCUUGUUUUCAGGUGCAUAAGGCUAAUAAAUGUUUGAGAAUUAACUAGAGGUCUCAUAAUUUUUCUGAAAACUUUGUGAUCCCAUAACCCUAAUGUUAUAGGUUUGUAAAAACUGUUAUUGUUAAACUGAGGUGUGGUCUGGAAUAUAAAAUAAAUUUUAUUUGUCUUCACCCUCUGUCUCGCAGUACCCAGAAUCUAAAUUUGUGGUUAUCCAGUUAUUAUGAUUUAUCCUUGUUUUAAUGAAUAGCAGUUAAUAAGAUAAUCUCUCAUUAUUAAUGAACUUAUUAUUUGAUUUCAGGAAAAUUAUUGAAAGUAACAUUGAAUGAUUACAACCAGAGAAGAAUUUAUGUUAAAUCAGAGCAUAUUGUCACAUCACAUUGACAUGGAUGUAUCUCAUAAGACCUAUAAUAAAUUUUUACAUGAGAAGACAUUUAUUCAGUUCUUUUGGAUAUAAACCCCAAAAUGGGACAGCUGGAUCAUAUGGUAGUUCUAUUUUUAAUUUCUUGAGGGAUCUUCAUAGUUUUCCAAAGCAGCUGCACCAUUUCACAUUCCCACCAACAGUGAGCAAGGGUUAUAAUUUCUUUAGAAAUGUCUAAAAUUGUCUUCUGGUACAUUGCUGCAUUCUAUUUGCUAAUUAAAACAAACAACAACAAACUCUGCCUCUAUAUUCUCUGAUUAUAUAAAUCAGAGAAUUGAUUAUAUAUUGUAUUUACUAUCAUCAGGUAUUUAUGCUUUCCUUAAAAAUUGAGGAAGUUGCUGUAUUUCCUAUGGUCUAGAUACUUUAAAUAAUUUUGGAAUUCUCUACUCUUUAAAGGUUACAAUAGAAUUCUUCUGUGAAAAAAAAAAGAUGAUUUUUUAUGUUCAGAAAUUUAUUUGACACAAGACAAAACACACAGUCUUCUAGUAUAGCUCUUCUGAAGGUUCAGCAUGCUGAAUAAAGACAUGUUUAAAUAAAUGUUUCUUAGGAGAAAAAGACCACACGUAUGGAAGCAUAGAAAUAUCAGUUGUAUUCAUCAGACACACUGCAGGCCAGAAGAUCAAAGCUUCUGAUUUCAUAAUUUCAUUUAACCUCUCCAAAAUGUAGUCAGCUGCCCCGAAUGUCAGUACAAUUGUGUUUGAAGAGUGAGAAUGACACAGAUUAUUGGCCUGACAAGGCUAACCUGCUAAACAAAGAUAUACUGGGUUUAUCUGAUGACUUGGAAAGAUAGUGUGAAUGUGCUGUUUCUUCUGUCCUUUUGAGAGUGUCUUAGGGAGAUAUGAAACUGAUAAAUGAUAAGUAUCCACUCAUGGGAAGAAAGGAAUUUAAAUGUCUUCCCAUGUAUUAGGUCCUAAACUGUCCUUCCAAGCAUUAUCUUUUUAUUUUCUAAACCUAUUUUGCAGAUAUGAAAAUAGAGGCCAAGAGUAUUUAGAGGGAAAUAUAAUUUGUCCAAAUGCACGUGUGCACUUAUGGGAGAGGAUGGCAUGGAGUUGCAGAGGAAUGCCGGCUGGAUCAAGUUCAAGUAUUGCAUUUAGAGCUAUGCAGACCAUUCUCUCCUUGGUAGAAGAACUUGAGAAUCUAAGCUAACAGACUUCAAGUCAGACUUUGUGAAUCCAAUUAAGACCAUAUUGGUCCAGUAUUGGAAAAGAAGAGCAAUGAGCAGGAAAUGAGUUUUACACCCUGUUGAAGAGGAUUGUGGAGGCAGUAUCAGAAAAUUCUUGAAAAUAGGGGGUAUUGUGCUGGAGACUUUAAUUCAGGGCGGGGCUGGGUAGGCAACCAUGAUAAUGGGAAUGGCUCGGAGACCUGCAAACAUUCAGGUAGGUGAACUCAUUAUUUUGAAAGUCAUUCUUAUCCAAAAGAUAAGAUUUUAUCAAUAUCUCUUUAUAAAUACUUAUACACACACACACGAACUUCUAUGUUGUAUGAUUAUGUAUGUGUAUGUUUGUUAAGUUUCUUGUUAUUUUUUGCUACUAGAAUACUAGUUUACUAUUUAAACAAAACAAAGAAGUAUCACCGAGGACAUGAAGUACGAGCUCAUUUUUGUUGAGCGAUGUAAGAAAUUAAGUCACAAAUAGAAGCUAUUCUUUUGAAUCGCUAUAAGAAUUAACUGUCCCCUUCAGCAGAAGUACCAAUUCUACAUGAUCAGUACAUUCUUUCCAUGUAAAUUGACCUAUAUGGGAACCAAGUCACAGUCAAAAAAAUACAUGAUGAGUUGGGUGAAUCAGUGGAGUUGGUCAUGACGGAAAUACUCCAAUGGACCCACGGUUUUCAAAGACAUACUAUGGUCUUUUAAGUUAUAGGACCUCACUUUAAAGAGACAGUCCAAUUCUUGACAGAUUUCCCCAAAUCUCUUAAAUUAUAGGACCUCGCUUUAAAGAGACAGUCCAGAACUUUGACAGAUUACCCCAAAUCCUGUCGAGCAGCAUUUUUAAGAGUGUGUCGAGAGGAAAUAGUUUUGUGGUUGGCUGUUGGUUUUGUUGUCCACCCCUAAUUCAUCUGUAACACUCUUCCACUGAUUGCUAGGAGAACAGUGAUCAGCUAGACGUUUGCCUGUUUCCUUUAGAGAAGGGGUUUACUUGCCAGUACAACCCCUUCUCUUUAGUUAGAGAAUGUGGAGUGCCUGCUUUAUCCUGGGUACUGCGCUGGAGGCUGGCAUCGGCUAGUCCUGAGAACCUCACCAGCAUCAGCAGAGCUCCCCACAAGUGCAGGCUGGAGAAGGAGCCACAUGGAGAAAUGAUGCAUCCAUCUCCCUCUGCAAGUGUUUCUCUGCAAUGAAAAAUAUGUCAGGGGGCAUCCACACAAUAUGUAACCUCCAGAAAAAGUAAAGAGGGCUGACGCUGAGGUGAUUGAGAACUAACUGUACCAACAUGUUCCAAAGUUUUCAAAGGUUAGUGUACAUAAUAACCUCUAGUAAACUUCCUGGAGCUUUCCACAUAUGAAAAAUGAUCUGUCCUACCUCUUUCUCUUGCACCCUUCUCUUUCUUUUGUAUUUCUUAUAUACUGUCUCUUUGCCUCUAAUUUAAUCCAGCUUGGUGUUUGUCUCCUUGAGGAAGCUAAUGGAAAUAAUAGCUAGUGUUGUGGGAGUGCUUGCAGUGGGCCAGCCGCACUGCAGGGAGCCCUCCCAAAGUCGCCGCUCCUCACCCCAGCACUGCCUGGUCGGUGUUCUCCACAGAUGUCUGGUGGAAGGGGAAGAGGCCAGGUGGAUCUACACUGACCAGUUCCUGAAUCUGUGUUCCUUCCAGAGCAUGCCAUCUCCUGUGCUUAUUAAAGGAACGAGGGGCAGAGGAUUAUUUUUGUAUAAGUGCUUAUCUCAGUUACACCAGAUCCUCUAAAUCUUCUGUCUACUUUAUUUUUAUUUGUUUUAUUUUAUUUUAUUUGCUUUUUAAGGCUGCACCUGCAGCAUAUGGAAGUUUCUGGGCUAGGAAUUGAAUCAGAGCUAUAGCUGCCGGCCUGUGCCACAGCCACAGCAACAGCAUAUCCAAGCCACAUCUGCAACACACACCACAGCUCAGGGCAACGCCAGAUCCUUAACCCACUGAAUGAGGCCAGGGAUCGAACCCGCAUCCUCAUGGACACUAGUCUGAUUCAUUUCCGCCGUGCCACAACAGGAACUCCCUCUUCUGUCUACUUUUAAUAAAGACUCAUAAUAAAUUACAACCAGAAGAAGCAAAUGUAAAUGUCAACUGAAGCCAGAAACAAGAGGAAGUCCAUUUUAUUUUAGAAGCAUUUCUUAGAGGUGAUGAGCGCAGUUUUCUAAAUAUCUAUUCAGUGUCUCAUAUUCUAUUGUGUGUGUGUCCGAAAUGAAGUCAGUCUAUAAAGGGCAAUCAUGUAAAAUGUAUUCAUGUAUUUCAAGUUAAAAUUUAUGAUGUGCCAUAAUAUGAGAUGUCUCAUUAGUUUAUCAUCCUGGUAAUACACUACUAGAAGACAUUUCGAACUGACAAAAUAAAGGCACAUUUUUUCUAUUCCUGGUAAAAACAAUAACCUGAAAGUCACACUGAAUUUUAUUGACAUUUUACCCUGGGUAAUGUUGAAAUAAGUAUUUCUAAUUCUGUCAUUUUAGGGGGUAAAUCCUAGAAGAUAUGUCAGAUAAUCUCAUAGUUAGAUAAUUAAUUUCAUUGCUGUAAUUUACUUAGAAAACAUCAGAGUAUGAAAUGUAACUUGUAUGUUUUUUUUUCCUUCAGAUUAUGUUGUGCUAUCUGGACUUUAGGUAUUGUCAUAACACACAUUUUUGGUUAAAUUUUGUUUCUGUUUUAAUCCCCAUUUAAUUUAUUUUGAUACCUGAUUGGCAUCAAAAUUUUAUUUGUAUUAUAACAUUGCUAGUUAGCUGUGUAUUGCAGAAGUGAGGAAAAAUUAAAUAAAUAAGGUUAAUAGAUUUGAUACUGUGUGUUUGAUAAUUUGAUGCCAGUUAGAAAUCUGUAUAUCUGAGAACAACUUUGAAAUGAAAAAUGUGCUUUUAUUAUUAGUAGUAUAACUACCUGCAUCCUCCUGGAAGCUGUAAUAUAAUCAAGCAGUUUUCAAUCCAGAUUCUGGCUUUGUUACUCACUGCAUUAUAAGCUGUGUAUCUUCUCUCAGCCUCAGUUUUCUCAUAUGUACAAUGGGAGGACUGCUCAUUCAUUGUUGUCCUGAGGAGUGAAUGGCAUUUAUAAAGUGCUGAGGAGGGUACAUAGCACUCCCUGUGUCACUGAAGCUCCAUAGCUUAGAACUGUCAUUAACAGGCCCUUCCCCUUCCCUGGUGUCUCUGUAGCCAAUCCUAUACAAAUCCAGUUUUCCCUCCUGUGUUAAUGCUGUUGCUCUUGCCCAUUUUGAUUAUCAUCACUUUAUUCCAGACUCUUAUCACUGCUUACCUGGACUGCGGUUGCAUCCUAACAAGCCAUCUCAUCGCCUCACUCUUCCAUCUCAGUUCAUUGUCAUUGCUGUUAGGGUACCAUUCAUUCAUGAUGGAUAAAUGGUAAAACCUUUACCAUAUUCUAAUUUUUUCUAAUAUCGUUUUGCGUUCCAAUAUUGCAUCUUAGCACUGCUCCACUGUAUAUUCCCUCUGAGCUAAUAAGCUGAACUUCUUUUUAUUCAUACUUAUUCUUCCUCAUUCGUUACUAUUGCUCUUGAAGUUCUGUCUACCUACAAUAGCCAUUCUUACAAUCCAUUUCUCAUGGUUUACUUCCAUAUUGGAUCCCCCAAAACAUGUAAUGUCAUCAUCUUUGUACCUCAGAGACUUUGGUUUCUGUCCCGUUAUAGCAUAUACCUUUUCUUUUUCUAGCAUGUAUUAUAGUCAGUCAUGUAGCUACCAUUUUACCCUUGCUAUACUGUAAAGCUUUCUUUGGAUAAAGAUUUAGUCUUAUUUACCAUUGACUCCCUAGGAACAGUUGGGGCAAUACACAUAGCAGGUGGCCACUGAAUUAUUAUUUAAUUGAAUAGCUACAUCUCCAAGACCCCCGCACCCUUUCCUGUUAUCUAUUCUGUUUCUAAAGGUGUACAAAUCACAAUAAUCACAGCCUGGUCAUUUUCUAAUGCCAGAUGGUCUCUGCAAGAAUCCACAGGAACAAGGAUAGAAGGUUGGAGCUCUAUGGAAAUGGAGGGGAAGACAGUUUUUUUUUUUUUUUUUUUUUUUUUUUUUUUUAAAGCUUCUAUAGUAUUAGUAUAUAUUAAAAUUGAAUAAUGUUGAUUUGAGUUUUGUACUGUGUUAGUUUGGAGGCUCUCUGCCAUGUCACUGUUUGUCUUAGGUAACUAUAACAACACUGUAGACUGGACUUCAAAUUCACUUACAACCCCUUGCUUCUUAACUUUUACUUUCAAAUAAGGUUUCCUUUUGUACCACUUUAUUUUUUAUAGACAACCUCUAUGAACUUUACAUUUGGACCAAAAAACUGGAUAAUUAUGAUAUAGAAGGAUUUAAAAAGUCUUCUGAUGCCUUCUUGGGGUUUGCAGUAUCCUCAGUUAAAAUGUGAUUAAUGAUCUCACUCCUGAGACAAUUGUUUGUAACUAAAGCAUUGACUCACAGAGAAGCUGCUUUGACCUGUGGGCAGUGCUUGGAGCAGAGUAGGUAUAUCCCUUGUCCCUGUCCUUGCCUGAAGCUUUUCUGGGCCUAGAAAAACCCAGCCCAUAUGCCCAUGCUCUGUGCUUAGCACAGCAGUGCAGCACUUAACUCUCUCACCUCAUAGAUACAGGCACCAUCUUCAUCUUCUGUUCGCCUUGACGGUGUCCAUCUCACGAUGGAAAAAGACACUAAUUCACCAAAGCUCAGUUAUUUCUACUAUAGCAAUAAAGCUAUGUUAUAACUCAAGUCAUAUAGUUAUCAUGACAUAUAUAUUUAAAGAAAUAAAAAAAUUCAUAUUCUACAUUUGUACACUUCUUUCUUUUAUCUGUAAAGAUCAAACUGUCAAAGAGCAUAUGAUAAUUUUUUAAAAAACAAAUAUUACCUCCUCCAGCCUGAGUUUACGUUUUCUUUUUUGUUGUUGAUUCUUUGCUUGUUUUAUUUUCCUUCCUGUUAUUGAAGACAUGGGGAAAGCAUAAAACAAAGUUCUGGGAUCUAUAGUCAGUUUCUCUCAGAUUGCAAUAGCCUGUCUUAAAUAUUAUAAGAAGUAGUGAGACUAUAAUUGGUUCCAGUGUUGUGAACUUUAUGUUGUAAAUAAAUUGGCAGGACAAGGUGGAUAACUUACAGAGUGAAAUUUAAUGAUCCUGUCCCCUCUGUUUCAAAACCAAAUAUAUUAUCUUUUCAUCUUUGGCUUCUUAAAUUCAUUCAUUCACUGAUAUUUAUUGAUGGAUUUCCACCUACCCAGUACUGUAGGAGCUGGAGGGAUCCUAGUUAAACGCAGCCACAUCUCUAUUCUUCUGGAGUGGUCUAAGCCCUUUUUUGGCUGCUGUGACAGACUACCAUAGAUUGGGUGGCUUAUAAACAACAGAAUUUAUUUUUCACAGUUCUGGUGAUAGGAAGUCGAAAAUCAAGGUACCAAUAGAUUCGGUAUCUGGUAAGGGCGUGCUUCCUCAUGGCAGUCUUUCUGCUGUCUUCACAUGGUGGAAGGGAGCUCUUUGGAGUCUUUUUUUUAAGGAUACUGAUCAUUCAUAAUGGCUCUUACUCUCAUGGCCUGAUCACUUCCCAAAGGCCCCCACCUCCUAAUACCAUCACAUUGAGCAUUAGGUUUCAACGUAUGAAUUCUCAAGCGACAUUCAGACUAUAGUAGGAGCUUACCUUUUGUAGGGGCAGAGAAGCCAUAAACAAACAUGUGGCAGGGCGAGAGGAUAGAAAAAGAUGUGGAGGACUCAUGAUGCAAUUUCAUUUAGAAUAAAUAGUCAAGGCAAGUGUCUCUGAUAAGGUGUCAUGUGAGCAAAUUAUGAAUGAAACAAAGGAGGGAACCACGUGGAUGUCUGGAGGAAAAACAUUCUGGGAAGGGUAAAUGCAAAGGCCCUGGGGUGGAACUGCACAUGGGAAAGUAAAAAUUUAAAAAUAUAACAAAAAUACAGAUUAGAUAAAUUGCACAUAUAUUCACUACCCAAAUACUCUGUAUUUGCUCCUGAGACCAAAAAAAAAAAAAAAAAAAAAAAAAA